CUAGUACGAGAGGACCGGAGUGGACGAACCUCUGGUGUUCCGGUUGUCACGCCAGUGGCAUUGCCGGGUAGCUAUGUUCGGAAGAGAUAACCGCUGAAAGCAUCUAAGCGGGAAACUUGCCUCAAGAUGAGAUCUCACUGGGAUCUUGAAUCCCCUAAAGGGCCGUCGAAGACUACGACGUUGAUAGGUUGGGUGUGUAAGCGCUGUGAGGCGUUGAGCUAACCAAUACUAAUUGCCCGUGAGGCUUGACCAUAUAACACCCA
rnacentral:rRNA from 1 species